rnacentral:rRNA from 1 species
CCUCUUAGCAGAGGAUAACAUCUGGAAACAGGUGCUAAUACCGCAUAACAACAUUUAUCGCAUGAUAGAUGUUUGAAAGAUGGUUUCGGCUAUCACUUUUGGAUGGACCUGCGGCGUAUUAGUUAGUUGGUGAGGUAACGGCUCACCAAGACGAUGAUACGUAGCCGAACUGAGAGGUUGAUCGGCCACACUGGGACUGAGACACGGCCCAGACUCCUACGGGAGGCAGCAGUAGGGAAUCUUCCACAAUGGACGAAAGUCUGAUGGAGCAACGCCGCGUGAGUGAAGAAGGUUUUCGGAUCGUAAAACUCUGUUGUUGGAGAAGAAUGUAUCUGAUAGUAACUGAUCAGGUAGUGACGGUAUCCAACCAGAAAGCCACGGCUAACUACGUGC